UACGUAGGGUGCGAGCGUUAAUCGGAAUUACUGGGCGUAAAGCGUGCGCAGGCGGUGAUGUAAGACAGGUGUGAAAUCCCCGGGCUUAACCUGGGAACUGCAUUUGUGACUGCAUCGCUGGAGUGCGGCAGAGGGGGAUGGAAUUCCGCGUGUAGCAGUGAAAUGCGUAGAUAUGCGGAGGAACACCGAUGGCGAAGGCAAUCCCCUGGGCCUGCACUGACGCUCAUGCACGAAAGCAUGGGGAGCAAACAGG
rnacentral:rRNA from 1 species